rnacentral:lncRNA from 1 species
GAGUGGUGAUCAAGAUGGAGAAGCAGGGCACGUGCAUUACUAACUCAUGCACAGGAAUUGUCAGUGAAAAUUUUUAUGGCAUUCAUCUGACAUCAUAAUUCAUAGUACCAUUACUGUACUUCCUAGCGUAGUGGAAAAUAAUGGUUUGGUACUUCACAUGUAUGUGUUUCCGUUUCCGUUGAGUUAGUUCUUCAUGUGCCUGUCUUCCCCAUCAUGAUCACUCAACCUUAUUAUCAGUAUACGUCCCUUUUUCAAGUUCUGAUUUCGCCUCAUCUAAUAAUAAAAGUGCUCCGUAAGAGAACUCUAUUUCGAAAUCAAUUCGCAUUUUAUAGUUGUUUUACUUGAAUAUAUUCGUUAAUAUGCCUUCUGCUUGUAGACGGAUAGAUUUGGGUUCAUUUCUUGCCGCUCAUCUUCCGCGCGCACCAUGGCCCAAAAACCGCUUUCCAUUGAAAGGUAAGUUAAUUUAUUG